UCGCGGGGUGGAGCAGUCUGGUAGCUCGUCGGGCUCAUAACCCGAAGGUCGCAGGUUCAAAUCCUGUCCCCGCAACCAA
rnacentral:tRNA from 16 species